GAAUUUUCCGCAAUGGGCGAAAGCCUGACGGAGCAAUACCGCGUGAGGGAGGAAGGCUUUUGGGUUGUAAACCUCUUUUUUCAAGGAAGAAGAAAGUGACGGUACUUGAAGAAUAAGCAUCGGCUAACUCCGUGCCAGCAGCCGCGGUAAUACGGAGGAUGCAAGCGUUAUCCGGAAUCAUUGGGCGUAAAGCGUCCGCAGGUGGCGUUCCAAGUCCGCUGUUAAAGACUAGAGCUUAACUCUGGAAAGGCAGUGGAAACUGGAUAGCUAGAGUACGGUAGGGGUUGAGGGAAUUCCCAGUGUAGCGGUGAAAUGCGUAGAUAUUGGGAAGAACACCAGUGGCGAAGGCGCUCAACUGGGCCGUAACUGACACUCAGGGACGAAAGCUAGGGGAGCGAAAGGGAUUAGAUACCCCUGUAGUC
rnacentral:rRNA from 1 species